rnacentral:rRNA from 1 species
CGAACGCUGGCGGCGUGCUUAACACAUGCAAGUCGAACGGAAAGGCCCUGCUUUUGUGGGGUGCUCGAGUGGCGAACGGGUGAGUAACACGUGAGUAACCUGCCCUUGACUUUGGGAUAACUUCAGGAAACUGGGGCUAUUACCGGAUAGGAGCUCCUGCUGCAUGGUGGGGGUUGGAAAGUUUCGGCGGUUGGGGAUGGACUCGCGGCUUAUCAGCUUGUUGGUGGGGUAGUGGCUUACCAAGGCUUUGACGGGUAGCCGGCCUGAGAGGGUGACCGGCCACAUUGGGACUGAGAUACGGCCCAGACUCCUACGGGAGGCAGCAGUGGGGAAUAUUGCACAAUGGGCGGAAGCCUGAUGCAGCAACGCCGCGUGCGGGAUGACGGCCUUCGGGUUGUAAACCGCUUUCGCCUGUGACGAAGCGUGAGUGACGGUAAUGGGUAAAGAAGCACCGGCUAACUACGUG